rnacentral:rRNA from 1 species
UACAGAGGGUGCAAGCGUUAAUCGGAAUUACUGGGCGUAAAGCGUGCGCAGACGGUUAUUUAAGUCGGGUGUGAAAUCCCCGGGCUCAACCUGGGAAUUGCAUUCGAUACUGGAUAGCUAGAGUUCGGCAGAGGGAAGUGGAAUUUCCGGUGUAGCGGUGAAAUGCGUAGAUAUCGGAAGGAACAUCAGUGGCGAAAGCGACUUCCUGGACCAGAACUGACGUUCAGGCACGAAAGCGUGGGGAGCAAACAGG